UCCAUGAAUCUCCGAGCCCACAAGAUGCCCCUGCACACCAGUUUCCAUUGACGACUAAGCGCAUAUAAAUUAACCGAAGAAAGCGAACCCAAAAAAAUUCUCAAAAUCAAACAAUCUGCAAGUAGAAAGCAAUCAAUCGAAGAUUAUUAUUAUUACAAUUUAGGGGAAAAAGGUAAAAAUUUCCAAAAAUAAUCUCACAAUUG
rnacentral:misc_RNA from 1 species